UUUGACUGGGGCGGUCUCCUCCCAAAGAGUAACGGAGGAGCACGAAGGUGGGCUAAUCACGGUUGGACAUCGUGAGGUUAGUGCAAUGGCAUAAGCCCGCUUGACUGCGAGAAUGACAAUUCGAGCAGGUGCGAAAGCAGGUCAUAGUGAUCCGGUGGUUCUGAAUGGAAGGGCCAUCGCUCAACGGAUAAAAGGUACUCCGGGGAUAACAGGCUGAUACCGCCCAAGAGUUCAUAUCGACGGCGGUGUUUGGCACCUCGAUGUCGGCUCAUCACAUCCUGGGGCUGAAGUCGGUCCCAAGGGUAUGGCUGUUCGCCAUUUAAAGUGGUACGCGAGCUGGGUUUAGAACGUCGUGAGACAGUUCGGUCCCUAUCUGCCGUGGGCGUUGGAAGAUUGAAGGGGGCUGCUCCUAGUACGAGAGGACCGGAGUGGACGAACCUCUGGUGUUCGGGUUGUGUCGCCAGACGCAUUGCCCGGUAGCUAAGUUCGGAAUCGAUAACCGCUGAAAGCAUCUAAGCGGGAAGCGAGCCCUGAGAUGAGUCUUCCCUGAUACUUUAAGUAUCCUAAAGGGUUGUCGGAGACUACGACGUUGAUAGGUCAGGUGUGUAAGUGCUGUGAGGCAUUGAGCUAACUGAUACUAAUUGCCCGUGAGGCUUAACCAUACAACACCCA
rnacentral:rRNA from 1 species